AGUGAACGCCGGCGGUAGGCCUAACACAUGCAAGUCGAACGGCAGCACAGUAAGAGCUUGCUCUUACGGGUGGCGAGUGGCGGACGGGUGAGGAAUACAUCGGAAUCUACUUUUUCGUGGGGGAUAACGUAGGGAAACUUACGCUAAUACCGCAUACGACCUACGGGUGAAAGCAGGGGAUCUUCGGACCUUGCGCGAUUGAAUGAGCCGAUGUCGGAUUAGCUAGUUGGCGGGGUAAAGGCCCACCAAGGCGACGAUCCGUAGCUGGUCUGAGAGGAUGAUCAGCCACACUGGAACUGAGACACGGUCCAGACUCCUACGGGAGGCAGCAGUGGGGAAUAUUGGACAAUGGGCGCAAGCCUGAUCCAGCCAUACCGCGUGGGUGAAGAAGGCCUUUGGGUUGUAAAGCCCUUUUGUUGGGAAAGAAAAGCAGCAGGUUAAUACCCCGCUGUUCUGACGGUACCCAAAGAAUAAGCACCGGCUAACUUCGUG
rnacentral:rRNA from 1 species